rnacentral:rRNA from 1 species
AUUGAACGCUGGCGGCAGGCCUAACACAUGCAAGUCGAACGAGUGGCGGACGGGUGAGUAAUGUCUGGGAAACUGCCCGAUGGAGGGGGAUAACUACUGGAAACGGUAGCUAAUACCGCAUACCAUCGGAUGUGCCCAGAUGGGAUUAGCUUGUAGGUGAGGUAACGGCUCACCUAGGCGACGAUCCAUAGCUGGUCUGAGAGGAGGCCCAGCCACACUGGAACUGAGACACGGGCCAGACUCGUACGAGAGGCAGGAGUGGGGAAGAUUGCACAAUGGGCGCAAGCCUGAUGCAGCCAUGCCGCGUGUAUGAAGAAGGCCUUCGGGUUGUAAAGUACUUUCAGCGGGGAGGCGUUACCCGCAGAAGAAGCACCGGCUAACUCCGUGCCAGCAGCCGCGGUAAUAC